GUUUUUAUAGCUUAAGUUUAAAGAGCAUAGUUUUGAAGAAACUAAGGUAAAUUAAAUUUUUAUAAACA
rnacentral:tRNA from 1 species